CUUACUUGUUACAAGGGAGAGUUGGUGGGUAGUGAUGGUAAUGUGAAAAAAAAAACCCCACAUAAAUGAAACAUUUUACAAAACAUACAGAAGAGAGUAGAUGUAAAUUCAGAAGGGGACACAGGUAAGCAAUGAAGUUUUAUUACCACUGUAUUAAAUUAAAUAUGUGUGUAGUGGGGAGAAUGAUCAGGGGAAUCCUGCUCAAUUGAUUUCCCCCUAGACCAGUUGAUAAAAUUAUAGAACAUAGUGGGUGGAUAAUAGAAACAAUUUCUUUUCAAGGUGUGAAGAAACUAUGUUAUCCAGACUGAUGGAAUUAGCCAAGGAUCCACUGUUCCUUUGAUGACCCUUUAAAAAUUGGGACACAGCCCCUAGAGAUCUUUUCAGGAGUUGAGGCAGGAGAUGGUUCUGAGGGCUGUGUGACUUCUGGCACCAGAGAAGAUGGCAAGCUAUGGAAGAAGAACCCCAUUCUUCACAGGGAACCACUCCUCACUUUAGGGAGGGGAGAUUUCUUCCCUGCCCCUUCCCAAAUCAGACAUGUGAAGACACAACUAUUUGUCCAGAGGGAGAUACCACUCUCAGUAGGGAGUGGUCUCAGUUGAGAGUCAAGGGACACUCAAACCUCUUCAGGAGUGACCAGCUCUUCUAGAAAUGAGGAUCCCAAAGCAACCAGUCAUCAUCCUUAUCACAGUGACUUGACAUCAGGCACUUGAAGUGUGAGCCACCUUUUGCUCUAAGAACUGUCCCACGAAGAUCAUUGAAUUGGUCUUACCCCUCUACGCUUCUCUUGAAAGGCAUGGGAUUCUCCAGAUAGCUAGAGAAAAAGCUAAAACUCAUUGACAUUCCUGUUUACAGUGAAAUUCUGGUAGGACGAAAACAUCAAAACCCAAAGAGCUUUGGAAGUCAUCAUCAAGGGAAUACAACCCUGCCUUCUUAGAGCUUGUCUCUUGGUACUCUCACUGGGGAUAGAGCUUGGGCUACAGUGUGAAGAGCCAUCCAUUAGUUGUUGUGUUUGGGACUUCAGUAGACCUGGCCAAACUGAUGCCCCCAAGCCACAUGCAAUUAGUGAAUAGUUUACCUGCCAUUCGCAUCCAUUUCCUAAAUAGCAGAAUUUACAAACUUGCUUUAGUCCUUUAGAGAUUGUCACAGCUUGAGUAGCUUUCAUCUGAUAUGGGGACAUGGAAGCUGAAAAGACCCCAAGAUACUUUCACAAAAGUAAUGGAUGGGUGGUGAUGGGUUGGGGUAACACAUUCCUGGCUAUACCUAAGAUUAAAGAGGGCCUGAAGAGAUCAGAUUAACACCCCCUACUCCACAAUAACUUCCUGGUACAAUCAAUGCCCAGGGAAAAUUUCUGAGGGAAGUCGAUUCUAGGAAUUAGAAAUGAUGGAGUCAGUAAUAGGUCAGCAACCAAAAAGCACCAGGCCUUUGUGGUCAGGUUCUCUGAGCUAGUGGGAAGUUGAUAUUCUUGAUUCCUCUUACUGUACCACCAACAAAAAAUGAUGUUGUUUGCUUUUCUAUCACAUUUGUUUCAAGAUAUAUCCUUCUCCCCACUCAGCUAGCCUUUCUUAGUAAACCAAGAUUUAAAAAGAAAAAGAAAAACAGUUCAGAAAACCAACAAAUACAUUGACUAUAUCCAAAAGUGUAUGUCAUUUUCUUUCUCUUUAAAAAUGUUUUAAAAAAUUAUUUUUUCUCUAUUACAUGUAAAAACAACUUUUAACAUUUUUUUUAAAAUUUUGAGUUCCAAAUUCUCUCCUUCCUUCUCCUGCCUCUCUCCUCCUUGAGGAGGCAAGCAAUUUGCUAUAGAUUAUUCCUGUGCAAUCAUGUAAAACAUAUAUUAGCCCCGUUGCAAAAGAAAACAGACCCAAAAAAAUAAAAAAAGAAAGUAAAAAAAAAAUGUGCUUUGA
ensembl:lncRNA